UGAUGAUGCAAAUAGCUCUGCUCCAAUGAAGAAGGUGAAGCCGCAGAGGAGUUGGCGCAGCUUGAUGCCAGAACCUGCUGUUUUCUGUGUGAGGACACCCCAGGUGCGGUCCAGUGCGAAGCCGCGUUCGCAAUUGAACGCCCAUUCAGAUUGUGUGAUGUUGUGCAGUUUGUGGUAGGACCAAAGUGCAGAGAAGGAUGCUAGGAGCCAGCGGAAUGAAGAUGAUGGAUUUGACAGUCCUUUGCUACAUGUUCAAGUCCUAGGAUGCCUUUGGUUUUUUAACCCAUCCCUGCUUUAAACUUCUCCAUAAAUCCACCCUUGACUUGUUCA